UGCGCGUCGCACUAUGAUUGACUUAUAUCUUUCCCGUAGCACAGCACACGUAUAGCCGUACCCAGUGGUAGCAAGUUCAACAAAUUAGUCGCUUGUGUGUGUGUGUAUGUAAGAAUUCAACAUUCAUUGUGUGUGUGUGUAAGAAUUCGACAUUCUUUGAUUUCAUGAAUUUCUCGUUUUUGUCCUCCCGGUUUGUAUUGAAAAAGCCAAUCAAAAUGCAAUCAAUAAAAACCGUGAGGACAUCUGGCCUGAAAAAAAAAAAAUGUUACCCAACAGCAAUUCGUAUUGUCAUUACAGCACCUAGGGGGAGAGAGGGGGGGGGCGAGAUUUCAUUCAGAAUUGAAAAAAAAAAAUGGCCUUUUUUUUUUUUUUAUUCUUUUAACUGUUUCGUUGUGUUGAAAUUCCUGUCCUUUUUGUCUAGUUAUCGGGAACAAAUAAAAAGCAAUACACAAACGACUUGCGUGCCACCAGGAGGACCCCAUCUGGCCACCGGUCAGUCCAGUUUCUUGUUCAAAGAAGUUUCGGCCCUCAUGAUUUCAGAGAGAAUAUCGUUAGACACGAUCGCCUAUUUAUGUAAACUGGCAGAUCCGCGAGAAAGCUCAGCCAAAAGAAAAAACGCAUUAGCGGCCUGGAUUUCGAGUCUGUCAUUCUACGCAGUUUUUUUUUUUUUUUUACAGGCGAGAGAAAAUGUUCUUUUCCGCAUGGAAUGACGUCAAACGAGAAAGAACCAGACCGUGUCCAUGUACAUGCUCGUCAAAAAAAAACGGAUUGCUAUUAAAUGAAAAAUUAUUACCGCCUAUAUGUACACAUAUACACGAUAACAGAUGGUUAAUCGGGCCAGCCGGUUUGGGAAGCUGUCGGCCAAAAGAUAAACCAAAAAAAAAAUAAUAAUAAUAAAAUUCAAGAAGUGCAAAAAUUACGUGCUGGUGUGAACAUGGCAACUGUUCUCCCCCCCACCCCCUUAAAAGUGAUCGGUUGUGUGUGUUCAUCGCGGAACAAUACGUUUAAAAUGAACCGCUAGAGACAAGAUCACACACCUAACGUCACCGUCUGGGCUAACAGGCCAGGCGUUAAAGAAAAAAAAUAAUAAAACAUGUAAUGUACGGUAAAUAUAAUAAAUUAAGCAUCAAUUUCCCAUUUUGAAUAUAUUCGGUGUACAACAGGUGUGUGUCCUUAAAUUGUUUCUCUUCGCAUUUUGAAGGAAAUGUUCAUCCGUCUAUCAACCAUUUCGUGCAAAUGAGCGUGCACAGCAUAAAUCGCCUUUGCCCGAGGCUUUUCACGUAGCCGUAAAUUGUGUCUGCCUCUAUAAAUAGCUUUUUUUUUUUCUUUUUUUAAUGAAAAGUUUAAGUUAAUGGCCAGCGGAAAUGAGCACGUCACUUGCGUAAUUAACCCGAUUUUUUUUUUUUCUUCCACAAAUUUAUCUGAGCAAUAAGAAAAGAAAAAAAAAAAAAACAAAAUGGAAUUAUCGGAGCUCAGAAAAUGAUGUCCAAUUUAAUGAUUUUUUUCGAACGGACUGAGGUGUGUGAUGCGCGUUGCGCUAUGUGUGUGUACACCGUGUGUGUGUUAGAACCGUAUUUUUAACCUAGGUCGAUCGAAGAAACAAGAAAACCGCUAUAGAAAACCGGCAUCCAUCGCGUAAAUUCCCGGCACGUUUUAUUUUUUUUGUUUGUCUUGAAGAAGAAGAAGAAGAAAAAAAUGGAACAUUGAGAACACGCACAACAGGUGAGAGCUCCGUUGUGGGUCGAAAGGAAAAGUCGGACCGUCCAUCCGCCUUUUUUAGACCAUAUACACAUCGAGUUACGCUUCUCCUAUUUGCAGAUGAAAAUCGACGUCAUCACGCGCGUCCUCCUUUUUAAAAAAUAAAUAAAUUUCUAAAGUAAAAAUAAAAAAGAUAAUUCCGGACUUCAAGAGAAACAGCAAGUUCCGUUUGGUUCCAGUUCAGACAUGCUGGCGAUGACCGAAAAGAAAAAAAAAGCAAUUUCAUGUGUGAUUUGAAUUUUUUAGAAGACGCGGCGGGAAAUGGUGACCUAAAAAAAAAAUAAAUAAAUAAAUAAAAAACUAACCUAAAAUUCUGUUUACUCACGUCGCAAACAUUUCUAACCCGAACUUUUGUUUUUUGGUUUGAAAUAAAUUUGAAACGCGGGGGGAGUAGAAGAAUGGAUUUCCAUGUAGAUGCAAGUAUAAGAGAGAAGAAAUGAUUCGUCAGAAAAAGGAUAUUGCAAGAUCAGCAGACAAGAGGUAUAGGACGCGGAAGUGACAUAAUGUGUCGAAGGUCAAUGUACACAAAAUCGCAUGCACGUUACCAAAAUAGGGAAAAAAGAAAAAUUCAUUUUUUUUAUGUUAAAAAGACAAAACAAAAAAAAAAGCAAAAAGAAUUUUAUUAAAAAAAAAUAAAUAGUUCCGGAAUUUGAAGAAAUCAUCCAUCUCUGCAAGGUUGCAUUUCAUAGUUGAUGGAUAUAUGAUCGAAAGAUUUAAUGAUGGUGCAGUACUAUACUAUACGAUCGUUUAUUAACCUCACAUUUCUAUAAAUAAUGUCGUCUGGUUGAAUAACCUCUCCAUUCGUCUUGUAAUACAGCAGUAUAGAAUAACGUUAUACUCUACACGAAUAACAACGGCCUUCUGCAACGAUUGUUACUUUACUGUCGAAUUUCACAAGGAACGGGAAUGAAUGAAACCAAACGAAACAGACGCGUUCCUUUUUUUCUUUAAUUUUCAUUUUUUUCCUUUUUUCCCGGAAGAGAACUUGACACCCGGUGCGGGAAACGCAAUUUCCCGGAAGAGAAUUUUGCACUUUAUUUGAA